rnacentral:lncRNA from 1 species
ACUAUUCUCCGAAUCCCUUCCAGACUUCUUUCGGCCACAGACGACUCUACUCUGAACUUCUUCCUAACUUCGUCAAUAUCCGAGCUUCUCCGACAGUGGAAUUUCUACAGUAACCAGACUUCAUCCAAGUUUCUAUGGUGAUCGACCACCUUUCGGACUCCAUCCGAGCUCCUACGAGAACUGGAUUUCAGUCGAACUCCUACAGUGGAUGUAUCCCAG